UAUCGCCGGAUCAACCGUAGAAAGACCGAAGUCAAGCAUCAUUGGGCGCGUUUCAGUACUUGGGUGGGUGACCACCUGGGAACACUGCGUGCCGUU